AGUGUUUGUGAUGAAUUACUGUGUUUGAGUUUCUCAACAAUGAGAAUACCUCACAUGCACUACCAUCUGAGACACA